rfam:Ovis aries breed Texel chromosome 2, whole genome shotgun sequence.
AUCACCUAGGAGUCUUAUUAAAAUGCAGAUUCUGAUUCAGUAGGUCUGGGAUGGGACCCAAGAAUUUGCAUUUCUAAGAAAUCUCAAGUGAUGCUGA